rnacentral:rRNA from 1 species
CCUACGGGGGGCAGCAGUGGGGAAUAUUGGGCAAUGGGCGCAAGCCUGACCGAGCAACGCCGCGUGAAGGAAGAAGGCUUUCGGGUUGUAAACUUCUUUUGUCAGGGAAGAGUAGAAGACGGUACCUGACGAAUAAGCCACGGCUAACUACGUGCCAGCAGCCGCGGUAAUACGUAGGUGGCAAGUGUUGUCCGGAUUUACUGGGUGUAAAGGGCGUGUAGCCGGGUUGACAAGUCAGAUGUGAAAUCCUGCGGCUUAACCGCAGAACUGCAUUUGAAACUGUUGAUCUUGAGUACUGGAGAGGAAGACGGAAUUCCUAGUGUAGCGGUGAAAUGCGUAGAUAUUAGGAGGAACACCAGUGGCGAAGGCGGUCUGCUGGACAGCAACUGACGGUGAGGCGCGAAAGCGUGGGGAGCAAACAGGAUUAGAUACCCCUGUAGUC